rnacentral:misc_RNA from 1 species
GAUGAAGAACGCAGCGAAAUGCGAUACGUAAUGUGAAUUGCAGAAUUCAGUGAAUCAUCGAGUCUUUGAACGCACAUUGCGCCCUCUGGUAUUCCGGAGGGCAUGCCUGUCCGAGCGUCAUUGCUGCCCUCAAGCACGGCUUGUGUGUUGGGCUCCGUCCCCCGAUCCCGGGGGACGGGCCCGAAAGGCAGCGGCGGCACCGCGUCCGGUCCUCGAGCGUAUGGGGCUUUGUCACCCGCUCUGUAGGCCCGGCCGGCGCUUGCCGAUCAACCAAAUUUUUAACCAGGUUGACCUCGGAUCAGGUAGGGAUACCCGCUGAACUUAAGCAUAUCAAUAAGCGGAGGA